rnacentral:rRNA from 1 species
AAUUAAGCAUAUCAAUAAGGGGAGGAAAAAAAACCAACGGGGAUUGCCCUAGUAACGGCGAGUGAAGCGGCAACAGCUCAAAUUUGAAAUCUGGCUUUCGGGCCCGAGUUGUAAUUUGUAGAGGAUGAUUUUGAUGCGGUGCCUUCCGAGUUCCCUGGAACGGGACGCCAUAGAGGGUGAGAGCCCCGUCUGGUUGGAUGCCAAAUCUCUGUAAAUCUCCUUCGACGAGUCGAGUAGUUUGGGAAUGCUGCUCUAAAUGGGAGGUAUAUGUCUUCUAAAGCUAAAUACCGGCCAGAGACCGAUAGCGCACAAGUAGAGUGAUCGAAAGAUGAAAAGCACUUUGAAAAGAGAGUUAAAAAGUACGUGAAAUUGUUGAAAGGGAAGCGUUUAUGACCAGACUUGGGCUUGGUUAAUCAUCUGGGGUUCUCUCCAGUGCACUUUUCCAGUCCAGGCCAGCAUCAGUUUUCGCCGGGGGAUAAAGGCUUCGGGAAUGUGGCUCCCCUCGGGGAGUGUUAUAGCCCGUUGUGUAAUACCCUGGUGGGGACUGAGGUUCGCGCUUCUGCAAGGAUGCUGGCGUAAUGGUCAUCAACGACCCGUCUUGAAACACGGACCAAGGAGUCGUCUUCGUAUGCGAGUGUUCGGGUGUCAAACCCCUACGCGUAAUGAAAGUGAACGCAGGUGAGAGCUUCGGCGCAUCAUCGACCGAUCCUGAUGUUCUCGGAUGGAUUUGAGUAAGAGCAUACGGGGCCGGACCCGAAAGAAGGUGAACUAUGCCUGUGUAGGGUGAAGCCAGAGGAAACUCUGGUGGAGGCUCGCAGCGGUUCUGACGUGCAAAUCGAUCGUCAAACAUGGGCAUGGGGGCGAAAGACUAAUCGAACCUUCUAGUAGCUGGUUUCCGCCGAAU